rnacentral:rRNA from 1 species
UACGGGGGGGGCAAGCGUUGUUCGGAAUUACUGGGCGUAAAGGGCUCGUAGGUGGUCAACUAAGUCAUACGUGAAAUCCCUCGGCUUAACCGGGGAACUGCGCCUGAUACUGGUUGACUUGAGUUUGGGAGAGGGACGCGGAAUUCCAGGUGUAGCGGUGAAAUGCGUAGAUAUUCGCAAGAACACCAGUGGCGAAGGCGGCUCACUGGCCCGAUACUGACGCUGAUGCACGAAAGCGUGGGGAGCAAACAGG